UUAACCACUAGGCUACUGCACCAGGCCCACGGUAUGAGUUUUUAAAAUCCAAACUUCACACAGUUGUAUUAUUCCCCCAGGACUCCAGGUGACAGUGGAAUAGAGAGAUUACCCAUGGCCAUACAGAUCCAAGUCUGAAGACUUAAUGGACUGCUGUUUCUGGAACGAUAUUAGAAAUUGAAUUGGAGAUCUCUGUGUGAAGGAACAGAGCCAUUAAGAGGAUCUCUAAACUUUUGUCCACUUCCGUGGUUCAAUAUACUGGGGAAAUAUGCUUGUCUUUGGAGAUCUGCACACCAGUGGCAAGUGAUACCCAAUCUUGAUUGUGGAAUUAUCCUCCUGCAGAUUUUGAAAUGAUUGCUUUGGGGAAAUGACCUUUGCGUGUGAUGGCGAUGUGCAUUUAUUCCCGAUGCUAUCCUGGAUGGUAAGGCUUCCCCUGAUUUUUGCCAAAUUUGUAUCUUCCACUGAUCUGUUUUCUGCUUUUACUACUCGUCGUAUUGUUACCAUGUCCCUUGCACAAGUGUCAUUAAAUGUGCCUUUGACUUGCUGCUACCAUGGUGAUGAACACUUGUCAUUGGCUAUUGGCACAUUACUGUAUUUAUAUGAGAUUUGAUCAUUUGUGGUUUAAUAGUCAUAAGGAUCAACCC